UACGUAGGGUGCGAGCGUUGUCCGGAAUUACUGGGCGUAAAGAGCUCGUAGGCGGUUUGUCGCGUCUGCCGUGAAAGUCCGGGGCUCAACUCCGGAUCUGCGGUGGGUACGGGCAGACUAGAGUGAUGUAGGGGAGACUGGAAUUCCUGGUGUAGCGGUGAAAUGCGCAGAUAUCAGGAGGAACACCGAUGGCGAAGGCAGCCCCCUGGGUCAAGACUGACGCCUCAUGCACGAAAGCGUGGGGAGCAAACAGGG
rnacentral:rRNA from 1 species